GAUGAACGCUGGCGGCGUGCCUAAUACAUGCAAGUCGAGCGAACAGAUAAGGAGCUUGCUCCUUUGACGUUAGCGGCGGACGGGUGAGUAACACGUGGGUAACCUAUCUAUAAGACUGGAAUAACUCCGGGAAACCGGGGCUAAUGCCGGAUAACAUGUUGAACCGCAUGGUUCUACAGUGAAAGGCGGCUUUGCUGUCACUUAUAGAUGGACCCGCGCCGUAUUAGCUAGUUGGUGAGGUAACGGCUCACCAAGGCAACGAUACGUAGCCGACCUGAGAGGGUGAUCGGCCACACUGGAACUGAGACACGGUCCAGACUCCUACAGGAGGCAGCAGUAGGGAAUCUUCCGCAAUGGGCGAAAGCCUGACGGAGCAACGCCGCGUGAGUGAUGAAGGUCUUCGGAUCGUAAAACUCUGUUAUUAGGGAAGAACAAAUGCGUAAGUAACUGUGCGCGUCUUGACGGUACCUAAUCAGAAAGCCACGGCUAACUACGUG
rnacentral:rRNA from 1 species